CCCUUCAAAUGCAGUUGGAAGAACAAGAAGACCCUGAGGAGGUCGAGGGAGCGACCAGCAUGGACUUUGAGGAUCACGACGCCCCUUCUCCAACCCAAAGUGUUCCCUCGUAGAUGGAGAGUUGUAGGGAGCUAAUCUUUUGUUGUACUCCUCGGCGACCUAAAUUUUGGAUAGUCAUGUAAUAGGUUAGCCUUGAGUUGAGUAUUCCUUGUGUUUUGGGAACAACAAUGUAAAGAUCUCAGUUGAAAUCAGAUCUUAGCUUGGUCUUUGACUCCUUGCAACACGUUUG
rnacentral:lncRNA from 1 species